rnacentral:rRNA from 1 species
CCCGGGUCUUGUACACACCGCCCGUCACACCAUGGGAGUGGGUUUCACCAGAAGUAGGUAGCCUAACCGUAAGGAGGGCGCUUACCACGGUGGGAUUCAUGACUGGGGUG